rnacentral:rRNA from 1 species
UGGAAAGGCGUGCGAUACAGGGUGACAGCCCCGUACACAAAAAUGCACAUACUGUGAGCUCGAUGAGUAGGGCGGGACACGUGGUAUCCUGUCUGAAUAUGGGGGGACCAUCCUCCAAGGCUAAAUACUCCUGACUGACCGAUAGUGAACCAGUACCGUGAGGGAAAGGCGAAAAGAACCCCGGCGAGGGGAGUGAAAAAGAACCUGAAACCGUGUACGUACAAGCAGUGGGAGCACGCUUAGGCGUGUGACUGCGUACCUUUUGUAUAAUGGGUCAGCGACUUAUAUUCUGUAGCAAGGUUAACCGAAUAGGGGAGCCGAAGGGAAACCGAGUCUUAACUGGGCGUUAAGUUGCAGGGUAUAGACCCGAAACCCGGUGAUCUAGCCAUGGGCAGGUUGAAGGUUGGGUAACACUAACUGGAGGACCGAACCGACUAAUGUUGAAAAAUUAGCGGAUGACUUGUGGCUGGGGGUGAAAGGCCAAUCAAACCGGGAGAUAGCUGGUUCUCCCCGAAAGCUAUUUAGGUAGCGCCUCGUGAAUUCAUCUCCGGGGGUAGAGCACUGUUUCGGCAAGGGGGUCAUCCCGACUUACCAACCCGAUGCAAACUGCGAAUACCGGAGAAUGUUAUCACGGGAGACACACGGCGGGUGCUAACGUCCGUCGUGAAGAGGGAAACAACCCAGACCGCCAGCUAAGGUCCCAAAGUCAUGGUUAAGUGGGAAACGAUGUGGGAAGGCCCAGACAGCCAGGAUGUUGGCUUAGAAGCAGCCAUCAUUUAAAGAAAGCGUAAUAGCUCACUGGUCGAGUCGGCCUGCGCGGAAGAUGUAACGGGGCUAAACCAUGCACCGAAGCUGCGGCAGCGACGCUUAUGCGUUGUUGGGUAGGGGAGCGUUCUGUAAGCCUGUGAAGGUGUGCUGUGAGGUAUGCUGGAGGUAUCAGAAGUGCGAAUGCUGACAUAAGUAACGAUAAAGCGGGUGAAAAGCCCGCUCGCCGGAAGACCAAGGGUUCCUGUCCAACGUUAAUCGGGGCAGGGUGAGUCGACCCCUAAGGCGAGGCCGAAAGGCGUAGUCGAUGGGAAACAGGUUAAUAUUCCUGUACUUGGUGUUACUGCGAAGGGGGGACGGAGAAGGCUAUGUUGGCCGGGCGACGGUUGUCCCGGUUUAAGCGUGUAGGCUGGUUUUCCAGGCAAAUCCGGAAAAUCAAGGCCGAGGCGUGAUGACGAGGCACUACGGUGCUGAAGCAACAAAUGCCCUGCUUCCAGGAAAAGCCUCUAAGCAUCAGGUAACAUCAAAUCGUACCCCAAACCGACACAGGUGGUCAGGUAGAGAAUACCAAGGCGCUUGAGAGAACUCGGGUGAAGGAACUAGGCAAAAUGGUGCCGUAACUUCGGGAGAAGGCACGCUGAUACGUAGGUGAAGCGACUUGCUCGUGGAGCUGAAAUCAGUCGAAGAUACCAGCUGGCUGCAACUGUUUAUUAAAAACACAGCACUGUGCAAACACGAAAGUGGACGUAUACGGUGUGACGCCUGCCCGGUGCCGGAAGGUUAAUUGAUGGGGUUAGCGCAAGCGAAGCUCUUGAUCGAAGCCCCGGUAAACGGCGGCCGUAACUAUAACGGUCCUAAGGUAGCGAAAUUCCUUGUCGGGUAAGUUCCGACCUGCACGAAUGGCGUAAUGAUGGCCAGGCUGUCUCCACCCGAGACUCAGUGAAAUUGAACUCGCUGUGAAGAUGCAGUGUACCCGCGGCAAGACGGAAAGACCCCGUGAACCUUUACUAUAGCUUGACACUGAACAUUGAGCCUUGAUGUGUAGGAUAGGUGGGAGGCUUUGAAGUGUGGACGCCAGUCUGCAUGGAGCCGACCUUGAAAUACCACCCUUUAAUGUUUGAUGUUCUAACGUGGACCCGUGAUCCGGGUUGCGGACAGUGUCUGGUGGGUAGUUUGACUGGGGCGGUCUCCUCCUAAAGAGUAACGGAGGAGCACGAAGGUUGGCUAAUCCUGGUCGGACAUCAGGAGGUUAGUGCAAUGGCAUAAGCCAGCUUGACUGCGAGCGUGACGGCGCGAGCAGGUGCGAAAGCAGGUCAUAGUGAUCCGGUGGUUCUGAAUGGAAGGGCCAUCGCUCAACGGAUAAAAGGUACUCCGGGGAUAACAGGCUGAUACCGCCCAAGAGUUCAUAUCGACGGCGGUGUUUGGCACCUCGAUGUCGGCUCAUCACAUCCUGGGGCUGAAGUAGGUCCCAAGGGUAUGGCUGUUCGCCAUUUAAAGUGGUACGCGAGCUGGGUUUAGAACGUCGUGAGACAGUUCGGUCCCUAUCUGCCGUGGGCGCUGGAGAACUGAGGGGGGCUGCUCCUAGUACGAGAGGACCGGAGUGGACGCAUCACUGGUGUUCGGGUUGUCAUGCCAAUGGCACUGCCCGGUAGCUAAAUGCGGAAGAGAUAAGUGCUGAAAGCAUCUAAGCACGAAACUUGCCCCGAGAUGAGUUCUCCCUGACCCUUUAAGGGUCCUGAAGGAACGUUGAAGACGACGACGUUGAUAGGCCGGGUGUGUAAGCGCAGCGAUGCGUUGAGCUAACCG